rnacentral:rRNA from 1 species
GGGGAAUAUUGCACAAUGGGGGGAACCCUGAUGCAGCCAUGCCGCGUGAAUGAAGAAGGCCUUCGGGUUGUAAAGUUCUUUCGGUGACGAGGAAGGUUGGUAGGCUAAUAGCCUAUCAAAUUGACGUUAAUCACAGAAGAAGCACCGGCUAACUCCGUGCCAGCAGCCGCGGUAAUACGGGGGGUGCGAGCGUUAAUCGGAAUAACUGGGCGUAAAGGGCACGCAGGCGGUGACUUAAGUGAGAUGUGAAAGCCCCGAGCUUAACUUGGGAAUUGCAUUUCAUACUGGGUCGCUAGAGUACUUUAGGGAGGGGUAGAAUUCCACGUGUAGCGGUGAAAUGCGUAGAGAUGUGGAGGAAUACCGAAGGCGAAGGCAGCCCCUUGGGAAUGUACUGACGCUCAUGUGCGAAAGCGUGGGGAGCAAACAGGAUUAGAUACCCUGGUAGUCCACGCUGUAAACGAUGUCGAUUUGGGGAUUGGGCUUUGAGCUUGGUGCCCGUAGCUAACGUGAUAAAUCGACCGCCUGGGGAGUACGGCCGCAAGGUUA